UGCCAUGCUAUGAGGACACUCAAGAAGCCCUGUGAAGAGGUACACAUGGCAAGGAAGUGAAAACUCCAGCCAAAGCCAGUACCAACUUGCCAUGUAUGUGAAUGAGCUACCUUGGAAGGGGAUUCUUCAAACUGUGCCAAGCCUUCACACACCUGCAGCCAGGAUCGAUAUUUUAGUGCAACUUCAUGAGAGACUCCUCGUCAGCACCACCAGCUGAGCAACUCCCAAAUUCCCAACCUACAACAACUGUCGUGGGACCACGCUCAACUCCUAGAGACAUCCUUGGGUCCUC
rnacentral:lncRNA from 1 species